GGAGCGGCGGGAUGCGGCAGUGCCGGGCCGCGGGGCUGGCGGGGCUGGCCGCGGUGCUCCUGGCGACUGUGAGCAGAGCUCAGGUGCAGCAGGAGCCAUCCGUAGAGACCAGCGAGGGCACCGGCAUCAACAUCACCUGCUCACACCCCAACAUACAGUCCAACGACUACAUCCACUGGUACCGUCAGCUCCCUGGCCGAGGACCCGCAUUCAUCGCGAGUGCCUUGAAGGAGUCGAAGAACGUGCGCGACCCGGAGGGGCAGGUGUUUGUGUCGGCAGACCGCCGCUCCAGCGCCCUGUGGCUCGCCCGGCCCCGGCUCGGCGACGCGGCCGUGUAUUACUGCGCCGUGAACCCACGGGGAGCGAAGCCGGGGCUGCGGACGGGCACGAACCGCUUUGGGCGGGGCGGGGGCACAGUGCCGUCUGGGCCCGCAGGGGGCGCUGCCGCUCCUCCCUCCCGGCCCCGCCCGAGCUGCCAUUGCUGACAUGGAACGUGUCCCUCGCACUGCUCGGCUUCCUUCUCAGUGAGACGUUCCAGCUGCACACCUUCACGAGCACGGCAUGUCGAGGUCACAGACACUUUCAAGCGGUCCCCACAGUAGCUCUGUUCUCAGACUACGAGAUUCUGUGACGAGACUGUGUGAGGGGAUUCAGGGCCUCUAGCAGUGAGGUGCAGUUUCAGCAAAGGCCACUGUAAGCUGUGUUUCCUGUGAGGGCUACUGCCUCAUCUGUGGAUCAAAUCACUAUUCAGCUUAAAGGGAAGGGCUAUUUAGGGGGAAACUGAUAAACAAAGCACAGAAUGACCGCAAUCAGUAAUCAAAAAGGGAGACAGGAAGGAGGUCCAGAACUCUUCAGCUCCUAACUGAUGGACAUAUACAUGUAUGACAUAAAAUGCAGACGUUUUAAUGAAUGUUUAGGGAAAGGUCAAAGGUGUGACAGAAAGGGUUGUAGGAAGGAACAAGGGGAUGCAGUGCAGAGCAGAGAGGACACAAAUUUCCACUCAGUACACCUACUGGGAUGAGCCCUAUGCCUGAGCAUCACUGCCCAACCUGUCUCUUUAAUAAGCUGACUUGUCUGCGCAGCACUUAAACUGUGUUCCCUUUCUCCUGUGGGAGCACCCCAAGGUGUAGGCCAGUAGAUGCAGAGACUGGUGUGCAGGAGAGAUCUGUGAGCCAGCAACCGAAACAGCAUGCACAGCACAUCAGGAUUAAACCAGUGACUGGGAGGAAAGAGUAUUCAGGUCUGGGAGAGAGGUGGGUAAGGAAACACAAAGCCUGGGAGUGGAGAUUCGGUAUGCUGAGAUCCCAUGGUAAUGUUGGAAAUAUCCAAAUAAUUGUUGUCAGGAUGGUAUCUCUGAUAAAAGCAGAUUUUAUUCGCAAUUGCAGUUUCAGGCAUCCCCUAAAGGCCCUUAAGGCACCCCUAAGGACACAGUGAUAGCUUUUUGUACCUUGUUUCCCCCUUUACCCACCCCCCUGCUCUGUUUCCCCAUUGGCUGGGUUCUUCAGGUUCAUGAUCUCAUCACAGUUUAUAUGUCUUAGUUCGGGGGGGGGGGGCGGAGGGGAGUUGAUGCCAGGCCUCCUGAUGUCUCUUCAGGUGCUUCCAUGGGCAUGCCAUGACUUGUUCUCUGGUUUGAUCAAUCUCGUGCAGGAUCUUCUUGCAAUGCGUGUGACCAAAUAUACAUAUAUACACCUAUAUACAGACCGUGCAUUCCUGGGAAGGUUCGUCUAGAAGAUAAGUGAUGUAAACUAUCCGAGAUCUUUCCCAAGUUAAGUAGAAAGACUCCCAGAAACAACUAGGACAGUGGAGAUAAUGAAAUAAAAAAAAUAUUAUCCAAUUCUAAUGCAGAAACAAAUUUGAUUCCUACAGUAAUAUCUGAGGGAUCAGGAAGAGUGUGGGGAUAUGUGUGAGAGGAGUGGGUGACUGCACACAUCUGUUGGCCAGCAAACAGCAGGCUGGCCUAUCGCAAGCAAAGGAGGAGACCCACAUGCUGGGAAAGAGAAGCCAGGCUCCAGGCAGGGAUAUUGGAUGUGCUGAGGACCCCUGCUCACACCGAUGGGCUGUGUGACUGUGGGAGUGCUUGUGAAGUUAGUGGGUGAAGGUGUGUGCUUCCACUGGGGAACGGCAGUCCUGAUUAGGCAGAAAGGAGGAACAGGGCUUGGCUCUGAGCUUAGGGCUUAUAAGAGAAAUGGUGUUGUUACC